rnacentral:rRNA from 1 species
CUACGGGUCGCUCCAGUGGGGAAUAUUGGACAAUGGGCGAAAGCCUGAUCCAGCAAUACCGCGUGUGUGAAGAAGGCCUGAGGGUUGUAAAGCACUUUCAAUAGGAAGGAAUACCUAUCGGUUAAUACCCGGUAGACUGACAUUACCUAUACAAGAAGCACCGGCUAACUCCGUGCCAGCAGCCGCGGUAAUACGGAGGGUGCAAGCGUUAAUCGGAAUUACUGGGCGUAAAGCGUGCGUAGGCGGUUGUUUAAGUCAGAUGUGAAAGCCCUGGGCUUAACCUGGGAACUGCAUUUGAUACUGGGCAACUAGAGUUGAGUAGAGGGGAGUGGAAUUUCAGGUGUAGCGGUGAAAUGCGUAGAGAUCUGAAGGAACACCAGUGGCGAAGGCGGCUCCCUGGACUCAAACUGACGCUGAGGUACGAAAGCGUGGGUAGCAAACAGGAUUAGAUACCCGCGUAGUC